GGAGAGAGAGGCGCGCGGGAGGGCGUCUAGGGAAUCGAGGUGCCGGCUGCUCCUUCCUCACAAUUUGGUUUGUGCUGCAAGGGGAGGGUCCUCAUCAUCUGGCCCCAGUGGUGUAAUGAGCUGACUGGGAUUCAGUCACUGUCGGAGCCGCUCGGGGGAAGUCCCGUGUGAUCUGUCCCCUUGGGCAGUGAGCCGGGACCAGAUUGACCGGUUCAGUAAAGAGAACGGUUUCACAGGUUGGACAGAAACAUCAGUCAAGGAGAACAAAAAUAUUAAUGAGGCUAUGAGAGUCCUCAUUGAAAAGAUGAUGAGAAAUUCCACAGAAGAUAUCAUGUCUUUGUCCACCCAAGGGGACUACAUCAAUCUACAAACCAAGUCCUCCAGCUGGUCCUGCUGCUAGUAGUGUUUGGCUUAUUUUCCAUCCCAGUUCUGGGAGGCCUUUUAAGUCUCUUCCCUUUGGUUGCCCACCUGACAAUUUUAUUAAGUAAAUUUGAAUUGUCUCCUGACUACUGUCCAGUAAGGAGGCCCAUUGUCACUUAGAAAAGACACCUGGAACCCAUGUGCAUUUCUGCAUCUCCUGG
rnacentral:sRNA from 1 species